rnacentral:rRNA from 1 species
ACUUACGGCCAUACCACCAUGAACACGCCCGAUCUCGUAAACUAAGCAGGAUCGGGCCUGGUUAGUAAUUGGAUGGGAGACCGGCUGGGAAUACCAGGUGCUGUAAGCU